CUUAAUUUCCUUACGAGCCUUUGUUGAGGGACCUUGUCAAAGGCUUUCUGAAAAUCUAAGUACACUAUAUCCACUAGAUCACUCGUGGCCACAUGCUUGUUGACCCACUCAACGAAUUCUAGUAGAUUGUCAGGCAUGAUUUCUCCUUACAAAAAACAUGUUGACAAGUCUCCA